AUCACGUCAGUUCGCCUUGCAGCUGAGGUGUACGUCAAUGCUGGUCUCGAUGGAAUUUCUCUACGCAGUCUCUCAAUUAACUUCAGCCUUGGUGGAAUUGAGUCCGACUUGUUUUUGGAGAUGCAAGGAAACGACCGCUCUGAUGUCGUCAACAAUUUCCUUAACAAGAGAAUUCCUGAAUUCCUGAAGGACAACGAGAGGGAUAUCAACAGGGUCCUUGAGGAGGUUGUCAGCUUCAUUCUUAACGUCAUUUGGAGCUCUUAAGAAAUAGUGUUUUAGUUCUGAGUCGUGGAAUUUAUAAAAUAAAUAUAUUUUCUUAAGGGAUAUGUAGUUUCUAUUACGACUAUAAAUAUGUAGAUGGAAGGAAUAUACAAAUAAUAACCAAAAAUA